rnacentral:rRNA from 1 species
CUUUACUGUAGCCUGGAAUUGGGUCCGGGCUUCGCUUGCGCAGGAUAGGUGGGAGGCACUGAAACACUCCUUGUGGGGAGUGUGGAGCCAACGGUGAGAUACCACUCUAGCGAGGCUAGGAUUCUAACUAGCAGCCGUCAUCCGGCACUAGCACAGUUUCAGGUGGGCAGUUUGACUGGGGCGGUCGCCUCCUAAAAGGUAACGGAGGCGCGCAAAGGUUCUCUCAGGCUGGUUGGAAAUCAGCCGUAGAGUGUAAAGGCAGAAGAGAGCUUGACUGCAAGAGCCACACCUCGAGCAGGGACGAAAGUCGGCCUUAGUGAUCCGACGGCGCUGAGUGGAAGGGCCGUCGCUCAACGGAUAAAAGUUA